UACCACAGCCGUAUCACCCUGUAGCCCAAGACUGGUUGCCCACUGAAGCUAAGCGGGGUUGAGCCUGGUGAGUACCUGGAUGGGAGACCUCCUGGGAAAACUAGGUUGCUGUUGGAA
ensembl:rRNA 5S_rRNA 5S ribosomal RNA